CUUUUCAGCAAGGUCUGAGAUGCUGGUAAUGUAGGUUUUAUGCCUGAUCUACACAGGUUACUUACUUCCUUAUCUUCAUUUAUUCUUUUAAAGAUACAUCACUUGAACUUUAUCCUGUGGCUUUCUUGCCUAACAUCAGUCAGGAAAACGUUUGAAAAUUAAAGAAUUAAAUAUUUUUGGAUAGUAGGUAAUCUCUUUUGCAAGAGAUGAAGAGAGUUAAACCCUGCAGGGCUGUCACUUGAUGACACAAACCCCUCUUCUGAAAGUUGUACACACAUGCAGCCUGGCCUGCGCUCAAUCUCUUGACUGCCAUGAAACUAGCAACAUUAAUUAGCAUUAAAAAAUUGUAAUCUAAUUCUGAAAAAGAAAAAAAAAACCAAGAAAAAAGGCAAAUACUAAACAGCUCUCAUUUACGAGAGCAUUUUUAUUUUCCAGGAGACGUUAGUUUAAUUCUCCAGUUACUCUCACUAUACCCAGCAACUUUUGAUCUCCCCCCACAUAAUACAGCACAGGAGAGUGUCUCUUUAAAUUCAUUUAUAAAAUAAUUCAGGACUGUGGGUGUCUUUGAUCUGUUCCUCUCUGCUAAAGUACAGAAGAGAAGAACAUGUCGCUUAGCAACCCCUCUUAGCCAGCACUGGGGGAGGCAGGAGGAAUGGAUGGUCCAGAGCCACAGAAGGGGAGGAUUAAGCCCCUAAAUUUCGGACAAUCUUUCUCAAACCUGAAGCAAGCAAACAUGGUUGCUUGCAGAAUUGGGUAAUCUCACUUUUUCCUUUUUUUCAUAUCCACUUAUGGUCUAUUAAUAGCAAUCUUCCAACCAAAUGGGAAAAUAUGGCAUGGGAUGAACAACACAGGCUUCCACAGCUUCAGGGCUGGGUUGGAGGUGAAGAGAACCUGAAGUUUAAUUUUAAACCAGCUCAAUAGAUUUUAAAUAGAAUUAGUGUUGUCAAUACAAAUGGUAAUUAAUUUCAUACCGCAGUUUUAAUCCUAACACUUCAAUUAAAUUUAGUGUGGGUCUUAUCCUGUUGUACAAUUGGACAGCCCAGGUGUCCCCAGCCUGACGUGUUCUGGGUCACUUACCUUGCUGUAAAUAAACCCCAGGACUCUCUGAGCGUUACCAGGCUGUGAUUCACUGGUAACUAGGUAACAUCUUAGAGCUGCAAGAAAACACCAGUUAGGGAAGUAACUUUGCACUGAAGCAGAGGAGCAGCCCUCAGCCCUUCCUGCAGCUGCAGGGUGGUGACUUCCCAAGAGCCAUGGCAGGAGCAGGCACCAGCUCAAACCCUCCUGCUCAGUCCCUUGCUGACCAGCGCUGGCCUAGAGCAGCCUUGAUUGAUUUUUUUUCCCAAAUAUCAAAUCCCACAGCAAUGUAUGGCUGAGUUAUGGAAGAAAAAAUUAUGCUAAAAACCUGUGUCAGAGGAAGAGCAGCAGAACUACCCACUUCAGCAUCUCACACAGGCAAAAAAUUGCUCAGAAUGAAAUACAGGUUCCCGGAUCAGGAUGAUGCAUGGAAAAAGCACGCAGAUGAGGCAUCGUUUGCCCAAACAUGUCAUCAGAAACAGACUUCCUAAAGGGGACUUUUAAGGCCUGGUCAACCUAUGCCUGGUACUACUGAAGACAGCAAGAAUCUCACUGCAGAUUUCAGGGAGAGCAAGCGCAGACCCUGGGAUUGAAGGAACAUCAUUUCCAUUCACUUUGUGUUCCAGGAGAACCCACAAACAGUUCUUGAGGCUCCAGGGUAGACUGAGGAGGGAGUAAAAUGAGUGAAACAAAACAAAAGAGAAGGGUAUCGGGACUGAGGCACUUCCAUGUCACCAAAGUCAACAAUGGACAAAGGUGCAUUUCUGCAAGAACCUCCUCAACAACAGAAGGACGUGCUGCAGGUGAUGUUCAGGAGCCAUUUCACCAGCCCACGAGGAUACAGGAUGAGGAUAUCUGCAUCCAGCUGAGCUGUGCCAAAACUACCUUCCUGCCUCUCAUACCUUUCUUGGCAUGCUGCAAAUCCAUGUUGGGUUCAAGACUGCUUGAAAUGUGUGUGGCUGGCAAUGCCAGCCCACGGCUGGUGAACAUCCUACCCACUGCUGGUGCUUCAGGAGCCCUUUCUGCAGCACCUGCCUCCUUGGGACAGGGGCUGGGGCACACAGUAGCUCAUCACUUCCUUGUCAGAGCACAGCUGAUAUGUUGGUGGGCUAACUUCAACAAUUUCACUGCAGGAGAGCUUUAAUUCUGGCUACUGUAAGAAUAUGGACAAAUUUCUCAGCCUGCUUCAGUCUAUGAACUGCGGAUACAUCUACAGGUUCUUUGAUCCUGGAUACAAAACCCACCACUGCUCUCUGUCUUUACCCUCCCCAUUCCCUGCAAUUUGAGAAAGUUUGCCUAGAAAGGGUAAGAAAACGUUCAGCUGCUGCAGGUCCUCCUAAGCCUACCUCCCCGCUUGUUUGUUUGUUUGUUUAAUUUGCUACAUAUGAUUUACUCCACUGAGUUUCUGCCAGGCAGAAUUUACAACUCAGAGUACCCCGUGAGUGCUGCAGCACUGCCAGGAGGUGAAUACCACCAGCCUUAAUGGCUGUUUUUCCAUAGAACAGGUAUAGCAGGCUAUUUUGGGCUAUAAAUGGAAAUCAGAAAAUUCGAUUUUCUUUCCCUGCUAGUUCUUCUCCUGGGAAUUUUAGUCCUUUCCUCUGUGCACAUGCUUUAGCUGUUGGUGGCAGCAUAUUGGUGAUACGGGUCUUUCAGAGCAUCAGUCACUGGAGCCUGUUCUGAAGUACUGCAAUGCCAGUGAACAUGGGAAAUCAUUCCCACUGGUACCAACAUGCUGUUUGUUGGUCUAAAAUCACAUAUUAGAUCAAAACCAGAUCAGGAUAGCCUGGUUUACCCCAUGAUUCCGGUGACAGAUGAUUCAAAAUUCAGGUUUACAAAGCAAGUAAAGGUAUUUCCCAGCCACCUGCACUUCCUUUUCUAAUAGUGGUAAUCCAUUUGCAAUUCUCAGUUUUGCAGAUUGCCUGUUACCUCCUGUGGAUGAUCAAAGUCUAGUUAUGAAUGAAUGCACUCUGGAUUUGCAGUCCCAGUAUCAGGGAUGUCUGGCUUUGCCUUCAGUUUAUAGCACAGACACUGCCAUCCAAAUCAUCCAUAUCAUAUGGAUCUAAUGCAAGAUCUUUGCAUCGCCUUUAAAUCUGAGAAGUUCUAAUUAUCAUUCUUCUAUCAUCAGUUCUACCAUUUUUCAUAAAUUAUGCUUUUUUUUCCCUCUGGAAAAAGCUUUGCAUUAUGAGGAAUUCAAGAGAUUAGGUUUUGCUACAGCAACAUGCAGAUCUCAGAACUUGGGAACAAACCCUUAGCAUCACUUGCACUUUUCUGUUGCCCCUAAUGGUAAUCAGAAGCGUUUUCUGGGCUAGAAAAUAUCCUCAUGAUGACAGGAUGAUAGUAGGCCUGCAUCCCCUUGUGUGAUUAAAUACUAAUCACAGGAGUCCUUAGAUAAAGUGAAAAAAGAAUUAUCCUUUGAUAUUUUAGUCAAUUGUAGUACUACUGAGAAGCACUCUCUUCCUGCCUAUAGAAAUAAAAAACCCAUUUAACCUUGGAAAAACAUGAUUCAUGUUAUUUUUUUCACUGAAGGAAAAGGAGUGGGCUUUUUUGGGUACAAACCUAUUCAGUGAAAGAUAUCAGUCAACAGGGGUCAGCUCUGGCACUGAGAGAAGACGAAGGAUUUUGAGAGAAUAUGUGAAAAAAACCAGAUGGCUUUAACUAAAUUAAUGGAAAAUAUGUGUUUUACCCAGCCAUCACUUGAUAAUCCUGACAUCCCAAACUGUCGUCACAGACACGUUCGCAUUCUUUUAGUCUUCCACUUGGCUUUGUCAUUUACAGCAUUCACAUGCUUGACUUCAAGCAACCUGAUGCUGUUCACUGGUUACUUGGUUUGACAUUAAGAUAUCACUAAAAUAGAAAAAAACAUUUAGAAAGUUCGAGGACUGUUACCCAAUAAAAAUUCUCAGAGCACAGUGAACUGAACUCUUGGAUUUACUUUGAAGAGAUCUGUCCCUGCCUGUCACUCCUUGCCCACCACCAGCUACAGCCACCCUUGCUGAUGCUGCUUCCUCUGCACGUUUCUCGUGGAGGCUCCUUUCUUUGUGCAGGAUUUAUUGAGAUGUCUUCGUCCUCAUCCCUCCCUCGCUGUCCUUCAGACACAGCCGGAGGCGCAGCUGUUACCUGUGCCUGCCGCCUUGCUCUGUCACCAGCUGGAAGCCUUUAAAGUGUUGAUGUAAUGGCUGAGCCCAGCCCUUCAUCCCAGCUGGCUCUGGAGAGCCCCGUGUCCCAGUGCUCCUUUCUCCCGGAGCCGCUGCGGUUCCUCGGAAUGAGAGGAGCAGCAGCGAACAGACGGCAGCUGUGAGGACACGGCCCUCAGCCAGCAGCAUCCUGACC